AUACUUACCUUACAGGGUAGAUGCCAUGAUCACAGAGGUGGUUUUCCCAGGGUGAGGCGUAUCCAUUGCACUCCAGAUGAGCUGACCUAUGCGAUUUCCCCGAAUGUGAGAAACUCAACUGUAUAAUUUGUGGUAGUGGGGGACUGCGUUCACACUCUCCCCUG
ensembl:snRNA U1 U1 spliceosomal RNA